rnacentral:rRNA from 1 species
CGGGUUGUAAAGCACUUUAGUUGGGGAGGAAGAUGUGUAUUUUAAGAGAUAACACAUUUGACUGUACCCAAAGAAUAAGCACCGGCUAACUCUGUGC